rnacentral:tRNA from 1 species
GGCCGUGUGCCCGAGUGGCCCAGGGACUCGCCUGCAAAGCGGGGUACGCGGGUUCAAUUCCCGCCACGGCCUCCA